GUAGGUGGCAAGCGUUGUCCGGAAUUAUUGGGCGUAAAGCGCGCGCAGGUGGUUCUUUAAGUCUGAUGUGAAAGCCCCCGGCUCAACCGGGGAGGGUCAUUGGAAACUGGGGAACUUGAGUGCAGGAGAGGAAAGUGGAAUUCCACGUGUAGCGGUGAAAUGCGUAGAUAUGUGGAGGAACACCAGUGGCGAAGGCGACUUUCUGGCCUGUAACUGACACUGAGGCGCGAAAGCGUGGGGAGCAAACAGGAUUAGAUACCCUGGUAGUCCACGCCGCAAACGAUGAGUGCUAAGUGUUGGGGGGGUUUCCCGCCCCUCAGUGCUGCAGCUAACGCAUUAAGCACUCCGCCCUGGGGAGUACGGUCGCAAGACUG
rnacentral:rRNA from 1 species